CGGAUGUAGUUCAAUGGUAGAACUUCAGCUUCCCAAGCUGAUAACGCGGGUUCGAUUCCCGUCAUCCG
rnacentral:tRNA from 1 species